rnacentral:rRNA from 1 species
AACGAACGCUGGCGGCAGGCCUAACACAUGCAAGUCGAGCGAGCAUUUCGGUGCUAGCGGCGGACGGGUGAGUAACGCGUGGGAACGUGCCCUUUUCUGCGGAAUAGUCCGGGGAAACUGGGGGUAAUACCGCAUACGCCCUUUAGGGGAAAGAUUUAUCGGAGAAGGAUCGGCCCGCGUUGGAUUAGGUAGUUGGUGGGGUAAUGGCCCACCAAGCCGACGAUCCAUAGCUGGUUUGAGAGGAUGAUCAGCCACGCUGGGACUGAGACACGGCCCAGACUCCGACGGGAGGCAGCAGUGGGGAAUCUUAGACAAUGGGGGCAACCCUGAUCUAGCCAUGCCGCGUGAGUGAUGAAGGCCUUAGGGUUGUAAAGCUCUGUCAGCUGGGAAGAUAAUGACGGUACCAGCAGAAGAAGCCCCGGCUAACUCCGUG